AGUUGACAGCCAUGUGAAUGUCCUAGAACAGAUUGGAGAUCUCCUGCAAGAGACCGUGCAAUUAGAGACUGCCCAAGAAGAGGAGGAAGGCAUUCUACUGUGGUUUUCUAAACAGCAACUAACAGCCCAGUGUUAGCAGAAAAUACUUUGAGCCCAAAAGGGUGAGCAGAAGAUGAUCCAGGCUGUGGUGCUGGGGAGGAGAAAUAGAAACAGCCUUGAGAGCUGUGCAUGGAGCAUGGCAAGCACCACUGCAGAAUGGCAACAGAAACACUAGAGGGAGGACCUUUUUGGAAGAUACUGGAUAUGUGGCAGGCAAUGGGAGUGAACAAGGGUCCAAAAGGCAUUUAGAAACAGCUCUGAUACAGGCACUAGCCAAAGGGAAGAGAUCAAACUCUCAGAAAUGUUUGGAGCAUGACUACUAAGAACUCAAUUCCCUUUUAUCUUCAAUACUUCCACAAAAGAAACACAAUUAAGCAAUGAGGAUAAAGCCGUAUCUGAUGUGUCCAAGACAUAGGAAGCCAGUUUAACCUGUCAGCUCUUAAAAAAGGAAGUGAUGCAUUCUGCAUGAACAGACCACUUUGCCUUAUACAGCUGAAGCUGUCUUAAUGGAAGUGGAACUGAAAAUGACUCAAAGCACUUAAAAUG
rnacentral:lncRNA from 1 species